AUUUAUGGCCAUAUUGCUCUGAAUGCACCCAAUCUAGUUUGAUCUAAGCAGGGUUGGGCCUGGCUAUUACUUGGAUGGGAGACCACCUGGAAAUACUAGCUGCUGUAGGCU
rnacentral:rRNA from 1 species